rnacentral:rRNA from 1 species
UUUUAACGCUGAGGUGUGAUGACGAGGCACUACGGUGCUGAAGUAACAAAUGCCCUGCUUCCAGGAAAAGCCUCUAAGCAUCAGGUAACACGAAAUCGUACCCCAAACCGACACAGGUGGUCAGGUAGAGAAUACCAAGGCGCUUGAGAGAACUCGGGUGAAGGAACUAGGCAAAAUGGUGCCGUAACUUCGGGAGAAGGCACGCUGAUAUGUAGGUGAAGCCCCUGCGGGUGGAGCUGAAAUCAGUCGAAGAUACCAGCUGGCUGCAACUGUUUAUUAAAAACACAGCACUGUGCAAACACGAAAGUGGACGUAUACGGUGUGACGCCUGCCCGGUGCCGGAAGGUUAAUUGAUGGGGUUAGCGGCAACGCGAAGCUCUUGAUCGAAGCCCCGGUAAACGGCGGCCGUAACUAUAACGGUCCUAAGGUAGCGAAAUUCCUUGUCGGGUAAGUUCCGACCUGCACGAAUGGCGUAAUGAUGGCCAGGCUGUCUCCACCCGAGACUCAGUGAAAUUGAACUCGCUGUGAAGAUGCAGUGUACCCGCGGCAAGACGGAAAGACCCCGUGAACCUUUACUAUAGCUUGACACUGAACACUGGUCCUUGAUGUGUAGGAUAGGUGGGAGGCUUUGAAGCGUGGACGCCAGUCUGCGUGGAGCCGUCCUUGAAAUACCACCCUUUAAUGGCUGGUGUUCUAACGUGGACCCGUUACCCGGGUUGCGGACAGUGUCUGGUGGGUAGUUUGACUGGGGCGGUCUCCUCCCAAAGAGUAACGGAGGAGCACGAAGGUUAGCUAAUCCUGGUCGGACAUCAGGAGGUUAGUGCAAUGGCAUAAGCUAGCUUGACUGCGAGAGUGACGGCUCGAGCAGGUGCGAAAGCAGGUCAUAGUGAUCCGGUGGUUCUGAAUGGAAGGGCCAUCGCUCAACGGAUAAAAGGUACUCCGGGGAUAACAGGCUGAUACCGCCCAAGAGUUCAUAUCGACGGCGGUGUUUGGCACCUCGAUGUCGGCUCAUCACAUCCUGGGGCUGAAGUAGGUCCCAAGGGUAUGGCUGUUCGCCAUUUAAAGUGGUACGCGAGCUGGGUUUAGAACGUCGUGAGACAGUUCGGUCCCUAUCUGCCGUGGGCGCUGGAGAAUUGAGGGGGGCUGCUCCUAGUACGAGAGGACCGGAGUGGACGCAUCACUGGUGUUCGGGUUGUCAUGCCAAUGGCACUGCCCGGUAGCUAAAUGCGGAAGAGAUAAGUGCUGAAAGCAUCUAAGCACGAAACUUGCCCCGAGAUGAGUUCUCCCUGAGACUUUAAGUCUCCUGAAGGAACGUUGAAGAC